AAUAGAUACUCGGGUAGUCCACGCCGUAAACGAUGAGUGCUAAGUGUUGGGGGGUUUCCGCCCCUCAGUGCUGCAGCUAACGCAUUAAGCACUCCGCCUGGGGAGUACGGUCGCAAGACUGAAACUCAAAGGAAUUGACGGGGGCCCGCACAAGCGGUGGAGCAUGUGAUUUAAUUCGAAGCAACGCGAAGAACCUUACCAGGUCUUGACAUCCCGGUGACCACUAUGGAGACAUAGUUUCCCCUUCGGGGGCAACGGUGACAGGUGGUGCAUGGUUGUCGUCAGCUCGUGUCGUGAGAUGUUGGGUUAAGUCCCGCAACGAGCGCAACCCUUAUUCUUAGUUGCCAUCAUUCAGUUGGGCACUCUAAGGAGACUGCCGGUGAUAAACCGGAGGAAGGUGGGGAUGACGUCAAAUCAUCAUGCCCCUUAUGACCUGGGCUACACACGUGCUACAAUGGACGGUACAAACGGUUGCCAACCCGCGAGGGGGAGCUAAUCCGAUAAAACCGUUCUCAGUUCGGAUUGUAGGCUGCAACUCGCCUAC
rnacentral:rRNA from 1 species